UUGAAAGGGAAACGAUUGAAGUAGUAUGUGGGGGAAUAAUUAGGGGAAAUUGAGUGAUUUUGUUGGAGGUUAGGUGAUUUUGGAUGUAUAAAAUGAUAGGGGAAGGUAGUUUUGGGAGUGUUAAGCUUAGUAUAUGUGAUGUUGGGAUGAGGAUUGAAGGAUAUUUUUGGGUAGNGUUAGUUUAAUAGAAGUUGGGUUAUGGAAGAUNNGNNNNNGAUUGAUUUNNGUUAAAAGAUUAGANAAGUGUAAAUUCGUUAAGGAUGUUGACGUA
rnacentral:rRNA from 1 species